ACACAUGCAAGUCGAGGGGCAGCAUCAUCAAAGCUUGCUUUGAUGGAUGGCGACCGGCGCACGGGUGAGUAACACGUAUCCAACCUGCCGACAACACUGGGAUAGCCUUUCGAAAGAAAGAUUAAUACCGGAUGGCAUAGUUUUCCCGCAUGGGAUAAUUAUUAAAGAAUUUCGGUUGUCGAUGGGGAUGCGUUCCAUUAGGCAGUUGGCGGGGUAACGGCCCACCAAACCUACGAUGGAUAGGGGUUCUGAGAGGAAGGUCCCCCACAUUGGAACUGAGACACGGUCCAAACUCCUACGGGAGGCAGCAGUGAGGAAUAUUGGUCAAUGGACGAGAGUCUGAACCAGCCAAGUAGCGUGAAGGAUGACUGCCCUAUGGGUUGUAAACUUCUUUUAUACGGGAAUAAAGUGAGCCACGUGUGGCUUUUUGUAUGUACCGUAUGAAUAAGGAUCGGCUAACUCCGUGCCAGCAGCCGCGGUAAUACGGAGGAUUCGAGCGUUAUCCGGAUUUAUUGGGUUUAAAGGGAGCGUAGGCGGGUUGUUAAGUCAGUUGUGAAAGUUUGCGGCUCAACCGUAAAAUUGCAGUUGAUACUGGCGACCUUGAGUGCAACAGAGGUAGGCGGAAUUCGUGGUGUAGCGGUGAAAUGCUUAGAUAUCACGAAGAACUCCGAUUGCGAAGGCAGCUUACUGGAUUGUAACUGACGCUGAUGCUCGAAAGUGUGGGUAUCAAACAGGAUUAGAUACCCUGGUAGUCCACACAGUAAACGAUGAAUACUCGCUGUUGGCGAUAUACAGUCAGCGGCCAAGCGAAAGCAUUAAGUAUUCCACCUGGGGAGUACGCCGGCACGG
rnacentral:rRNA from 1 species